rnacentral:rRNA from 1 species
GUCCACGCCCUAAACGAUGUCAACUGGUUGUUGGGAGGGUUUCUUCUCAGUAACGUAGCUAACGCGUGAAGUUGACCGCCUGGGGAGUACGGCCGCAAGGUUGAAACUCAAAGGAAUUGACGGAGACCCCGCACAAGCGGUGGAUGAUGUGGUUUAAUUCGACGCAACGCGAAAACCUUACCUACCCUUGACAUGUCUGGAAUCCCGCAGAGAUGUGGGAGUGCUCGAAAGAGAACCAGAACACAGGUGCUGCAUGGCCGUCGU